GGUUUGUGGCUCCGUGGUAGAGUGCUAGCCUAGCACAUUCGAGGCCCUGGGUUCGAUCCUCAACACCA
rnacentral:tRNA from 1 species